UUUAUAACUGUAAAAAUGCCUGUUCUGAACUUACAAACUCAGGCAGGAGGAUGGUUCCUCCACCCAUCAAGGACGACUAUCAAAACUAAGUGGGCCAUUGUGAAGCAUCACAAUAUAAAGACUCUGACACCCGUGAAGGUUCUAUGUGCAAGGAAGCUUGUUCCACCAGCUUGAAUUCUGGAAAAAGAAAAUAAGGAUAGCUGACAUGAAAAUUCUUCAACUCUGUUGUUUGGACUCUCACAGGGCUGGAGCUAGGAAACAAAAUCAGAAAUCCCCAGGGUCAAUCUGUCAGUGUUGACAGAUUACUACGACUCUGAUUGGCUACAAGCAGUGUCUAUGGUGUGAGAUCUAAGGUACUAAUUGAUGUGAGAGUUUUGACCAAACCACUAAGAAAGAGUUCUACAAUAAGUCUGGGAGGAGUGAAAGGAGACAAGGGAAUAAGCAAAUGAAUAGAAAAAAACAUUGACUUCAGAUAUCCUUUGAAGCAGCACUGAAAAUCAUCACACAUCAAGUCGGGCAAGCUGGAGAACAUUGAUAUUCUGGAGGUACCCGAGGGGAAUUGUGAAAUUCUGUUCCAGGCCAACAGCAGACAGCCACCUUUGUAUGCUAAGGAGAUAUUGAGGCAUCUAGUGACCAACCAGCACAUCUCAAAAUGGAGGAUCUCGAAGUGCUUUACAAAGAUGGACAAAGUAUACCGUCUCCACAGAAGGGGGAAUUGAAGUGCUGAGACCAGCAACAGAGUCAGCACCUGCCUCUCGCAAGCACCCCCUCAGUUUAGGUGUGUCUGCAUCCUUUCAGUUCUUUUCAGCGGGGCGGCACCCACUUCUUGUCAGCGCCCCCCUCCGGCCGAUGGAUCCCUUGCUGGGUCUUCAGCAACUCAGUCCUCAGGGUCUUAUCUCUGCCUGACCCCUCAAACAUCCAUGUCAAUGAACCUGCAUGCAGGAAAAGCACAUAAGUAUUCAAGAAAAUAUCACCUGAAUUGAAAAAAUGAAGAAUGAAACAUUUUUAAAAUGCGGAAGUAUCACAUAUAAUUUCUCCUUUUAUUUAGAA